rfam:Verrucomicrobia bacterium RIFCSPHIGHO2_12_FTLL_41_10 rifcsphigho2_12_scaffold_34586, whole genome shotgun sequence.
GGUGAGGUGGCUGAGUGGUCGAAAGCAGCGCUUUGCUAAAGCGCCGUACUGUAAAAGGUACCGAGGGUUCGAAUCCCUCCCUCACCA